GUGCUCGCUUCAGUAGCACAUAUACUAAAAUUGGAACGAUACAGAGAAGAUUAGCAUAAAACCGCACAAGGGAUGAUACAUAAAAGUUAGUAUCACUACAUUUGUUU